AUACGGAGAGUGCAAGCGUUGUUCGGAAUUACUGGGCUUAAAGCGCAUGUAGGCGGGAUAUCAAGUGUCGGGUGAAAUCCCCGGGCUCAACCCGGGAAUUGCGCGGCAAACCGGUAUUCUUGAGGCAGGUAGAGGUGACUGGAACGACUGGUGGAGCGGUGAAAUGCGUAGAUAUCAGUUGGAACGCCGGAGGCGAAAGCGAGUCACUGGGCCUGUCCUGACGCUGAGGCGCGAAAGCGUGGGGAGCAAACAGGAUUAGAAACCCCAGUAGUCC
rnacentral:rRNA from 1 species